rnacentral:rRNA from 1 species
UAUCGACGACGUAGUUGAUCAGUGGCUCGAGGACGACGCUGGCGGCGUGCUUCAUACAUGCAAGUCGAACGAGAAUUCACCUUCGGGUGAAGGAAAGUGGCGAACGGGUGAGUAACGCGUGAGAAACCUGCCUUUCAGUGGGGGACAACAGUUGGAAACGACUGCUAAUACCGCAUAACGUAUCGAGGGGGCAUCCUCUUGAUACCAAAGCUUUAUGUGCUGAAAGAUGGUCUCGCGUCUGAUUAGCUAGUUGGUGAGGUAACGGCUCACCAAGGCGACGAUCAGUAGCCGGUCUGAGAGGAUGAACGGCCACAUUGGGACUGAGAUACGGCCCAGACUCCUACGGGAGGCAGCAGUGGGGAAUAUUGGGCAAUGGGGGAAACCCUGACCCAGCAACGCCGCGUGAAGGAAGAAGGCUUUCGGGUUGUAAACUUCUUUUAGCAGGGACGAAGGACGUGACGGUACCUGCAGAAAAAGCAACGGCUAACUACGUG